rnacentral:ncRNA from 1 species
UCGAACAUGUUGAUGGGGAAUAGUACGGUAGUAACCUGCGUUCAGAGAGCAAAUCAUCUCGCUGCGAGAUUUGCCGCAUGGUUUGCCGGAACCCACCCCGGAGUGCCAGGGAUGACCUGGCCAGGGUCCCUCCCCCUGUUAUCAACGAGGUAAGCGGGCAUGUACACAAUUUGUGCAUCGCCAAUGAAGGUGGUACCGCGGAAGCUAAGCCUUUCGUCCUUUUU